rnacentral:tRNA from 2 species
GCUGGAGUAGCUCAGAGGCAGAGCAGGGGUUUUGUAAACCUCAGGUCGGGGGUUCAAUUCCCUCCUCCAGCU